rnacentral:rRNA from 1 species
GGGAACCUCACCAGGCCCGGACACCGGAAGGAUUGACAGAUUGAGAGCUCUUUCUCGAUUCGGUGGGUGGUGGUGCAUGGCCGUUCUUAGUUGGUGGAGUGAUUUGUCUGGUUAAUUCCGAUAACGAACGAGACUCUGUCCUGCUAAAUAGUGUCAGCCUCUCUUUUGGGCUGACAAUUCUUCUUAGAGGGACUGGCGGCACCUAGCCGCACGAAAUAGAGCAAUAA